CCUACGGGUGGCAGCAGUGAGGAAUAUUGGUCAAUGGACGAGAGUCUGAACCAGCCAAGUAGCGUGAAGGAUGACUGCCCUAUGGGUUGUAAACUUCUUUUAUAUGGGAAUAAAACAGGGUAUGCAUACCCUCUUGUAUGUACCAUAUGAAUAAGGAUCGGCUAACUCCGUGCCAGCAGCCGCGGUAAUACGGAGGAUCCGAGCGUUAUCCGGAUUUAUUUGGUUUAAAGGGAGCGUAGGUGGAUUGUUAAGGCAGUUGUGAAAGUUUGCGGCUCAACCGUAAAAUUGCAGUUGAAACUGGCAGUCUUGAGUACAGUAGAGGUGGGCGGAAUGCGUGGUGUAGCGGUGAAAUGCUUAGAUAUCACGAAGAACUCCGAUUGCGAAGGCAGCUUACUGGACUGCAACUGACACUGAUGCACGAAAGUGUGGGUAUCAAACAGGAUUAGAUACCCUAGUAGUC
rnacentral:rRNA from 1 species